GGUGGGUAGUGGCCUACCAAGGCAAUGAUGGUAGCCGGGUUGAGAGACCGACCGGCCAGAUUGGGACUGAGACACGGCCCAGACUCCUACGGGAGGCAGCAGGUGGGGAAUCUUGCAACAAUGGGCGAAAGCCUGAUGCAGCGACGCCGCGUGCGGGAUGAAGGCCUUCGGGUUGUAAACCGCUUUCAGCAGGGGACGAGGCCGCAAGGUGACGGUACCUGCAGAAGAAGCCCCGGGCUAACUACGUGCCAGCAGCCGCGGUAAAU
rnacentral:rRNA from 1 species